ensembl:lncRNA
GCUGGUAACGGGAGGAGCCAACUUUAGAUCCAGGUUUUGUGGAAUCUGAAAGUUUUGUUUUAUAGGAUUGGGAACCUCUUUCACAAGUAGAAUACACAUUUACAAAUGUGAAAUACAGGUACAGGACCUUGGAAGAGGCUGUAAGUGAAGGGCCCUGAAUCUUCGCGUCACUAACUCUACUGUGAAUAUAUCUCUGGAUGGAGUCAGAAUUUGAAUACAGGCCACCUGGUUCUAGACCCUGAGCUUUUAGUGAUUCCACUAUCUCCUGGGAGAGGAUGAAUUCACGUGCACCGAAUGUCUCAAAGGCAGGCGUCUGUGAGCCUGCGCUAGUUAAGGAAAGGAUGAUUUCAAGGCAGCUGGGGGUGACAACAGUGUGAUGAUGUCAAUUCAAAUUGCAAG